UACGUGCCAGCAGCGNGUAAUACGUAGGGGGCGAGCGUUGCCCGAAUUUACUGGCGUAAAGGGCACGUNGCGUUCCGUAAGUCUGGUGUGAAAUCUCUCGGCUCAACUGGGAGGCUGCACCAGAUACUGCGGAACUCGAGGACGGGAGAGGAGAUUGGAAUUCCCGGUGUAGCGGUGAAAUGCGUUGAUAUCGGGAGGAACACCAGUGGCGAAGGCGGAUCUCUGGCCCGUUCCUGACGCUAAGGUGCGAAAGCUGGGGGAGCGAAAGGGAUUAGAUACCCCUGUAGUCCCAGCCCUAAACGAUGGGCGCUAGGUGUUGGGGGGAUUACCCCUCAGUGCCGAAGCUAACGCAUUAAGCGCCCCGCCUGGGGAGUACGGCCGCAAGGCUGAAACUCAAAGGAAUUGACGGGGGCCCGCACAAGCGGUGGAGCAUGUGGAUUAAUUCGAUACUAACCGAAGAACCUUACCUGGGCUUGACAUGCACGGGAAAGCCCCUGGAAACAGGAGCCCUCCACGGGGAAACUCGUGGACUCGUGCACACCGGUUGCAUGGCUGUCGUCAGCUCGUGCCGUGAGGUGUUGGGUUAAGUCCCGCAACGAGCGCAACCCCUGUCCCCUGUUGCCAGCGGGUCAUGCCGGGCACUCUGGGGAGACUGCCGUGGUCAACACGGAGGAAGGUGGGGAUGACGUCAAGUCAGCAUGGCGGUUACGCCCAGGGCUUCACACAUGCUACAAUGGGCGGUACAAAGGGCAGCGAACGCGCGAGCGGGAGCUAAUCCCAAAAAACCGCCCUCAGUUGGGAUCGCAGUCUGCAACUCGACUGCGUGAACGCGGAAUCGCUAGUAACGGCGGGUCAGCCAUACCGCCGUGAAUACGUUCCCGGGCCUUGUACACACCGCCCGUCAAGUCACCCGAGUCGGCUGCACCCGAAGUCGGUCGCCCAACCCGCAAGGGAGGGAGCCGCCGAAGGUGUGGCUGGUAA
rnacentral:rRNA from 1 species